AGACUCCUACGGGAGGCAGCAGUGGGGAAUAUUGGGCAAUGGAGGAAACUCUGACCCAGCGACGCCGCGUGCGGGAUGAAGGCCUUCGGGUUGUAAACCGCUUUCAGUAGGGAAGAAGCGAAAGUGACGGUACCUACAGAAGAAGCACCGGCUAACUAUGUGCCAGCAGCCGCGGUAAUACAUAGGGUGCAAGCGUUGUCCGGAAUUAUUGGGCGUAAAGAGCUCGUAGGUGGUUCGAUACGUCGGAUGUGAAAAUCUGGGGCUCAACCCCUGACCUGCAUUCGAUACGGUCGAGCUAGAGUUUGGUAGGGGAGA
rnacentral:rRNA from 1 species